UACAGAGGGGGCAAGCGUUAUUCGGAAUUAUUGGGCGUAAAGGGCGCGUAGGCGGCGAUUCAAGUGACGGGUGAAAUCCCUCGGCUUAACCGAGGAACUGCCUGUCAGACUGGGUUGCUUGAGACCGGGAGAGGCGAGUGGAAUUCCCAGUGUAGCGGUGAAAUGCGUAGAUAUUCGCAAGAACACCAGUGGCGAAGGCGGCUCACUGGCCCGGUACUGACGCUGAGGUGCGAAAGCGUGGGGAGCAAACAGG
rnacentral:rRNA from 1 species